CGGGGCGUAGCUUAGCUUGGCUAGAGCGCAGCGUUCGGGACGCUGAGGCCGGAGGUUCAAAUCCUCUCGCCCCGACCA
rnacentral:tRNA from 1 species